GACGAACGCUGGCGGCGUGCUUAACACAUGCAAGUCGAACGAUGAACCCGGAGCUUGCUCCGGUGGAUUAGUGGCGAACGGGUGGGUAACACGCGAGUAACCUGCCCUUGACUCUGGGAUAACUGCGGGAAACUGUAGCUAAUACCGGAUACGACCCUCGGCGGCAUCGCCAGGGGGUGGAAAGAAUUUCGGUCAAGGAUGGACUCGCGGCCUAUCAGCUAGUUGGUGAGGUAACGGCGCACCAAGGCGACGACGGGUAGCCGGCCUGAGAGGGGGACCGGCCACACUGGGACUAAAAAAGGGCCCAGACUCCUACGGGAGGCAGCAGGGGGGUAUAAUGCACAAUUGGCGCAAGCCUGAUGCAGCGACGCCGGGAGAGGGAUGAAGGUCUUCGGAUUGUAAACCUCUUUCAAUAGGGACGAAGCGAAAGUGACGGUACCUAAAGAAGAAGCACCGGCUAACUACGUGCCAGCCGCCGCCGUAA
rnacentral:rRNA from 1 species